GUUUGAUCAUGGCUCAGAUUGAACGCUGGCGGCAUGCCUUACACAUGCAAGUCGAACGGUAACAGGGAGCUUGCUCCGCUGACGAGUGGCGAACGGGUGAGUAAUACAUCGGAACGUGCCCAGUAAUGGGGGAUAGCUCGGCGAAAGCCGGAUUAAUACCGCAUACGCCCUGAGGGGGAAAGUGGGGGACCGCAAGGCCUCACGUUAUUGGAGCGGCCGAUGGCUGAUUAGCUAGUUGGUAGGGUAAAGGCCUACCAAGGCGACGAUCCGUAGCUGGUCUGAGAGGAUGAUCAGCCACAUCGGGACUGAGACACGGCCCGAACUCCUACGGGAGGCAGCAGUGGGGAAUAUUGGACAAUGGGCGAAAGCCUGAUCCAGCCAUCCCGCGUGGAGGAUGACUGCCCUACGGGUUGUAAACUCCUUUUAUAUGAGAAGAAACGCCUGGAUUUAUCCGGGCCUGACGGUAUCUUAUGAAUAAGCACCGGCUAACUCCGUGCCAGCAGCCGCGGUAAUACGGAGGGUGCGAGCGUUAAUCGGAAUUACUGGGCGUAAAGCGCACGCAGGCGGUUUGUUAAGCUAGAUGUGAAAGCCCCGGGCUCAACCUGGGAAUUGCAUUUGAAACUGGCAGGCUAGAGUGCAGUAGAGGGAGGUGGAAUUUCCGGUGUAGCGGUGAAAUGCGUAGA
rnacentral:rRNA from 1 species